GAAAGCCACCCCACUUCAAGUUCUCCUAACACCACGUCUACACCCCAAGCUUUAUGAAUUAUGAAUUCUGAGAGCCUUUGGAAUGUGAUAGGUUUUCAAUCUUUAAAUGCUUUACUUGUUUAAUCAUUACUGGUGUAGCAACUACAAGCUGUUGCAAUAAAGUAAUCUGUAAGUUGUUACAAUAAAUUGAGAUGCUAGUGGAAGUUGGCGAAAGAAAACAUAAAUGACACCUUAAACAAGCAAACAUGUAAAAGCACGCUGCUAAGCAUUUACAAAGUUCAUGCUUCUUCUGCAGCAAAGAGAUUGACGGAGGGUGAAUCAAAUUGGGACUGAGCGGCGUUGGAUUCAACCAAAAAGA
rnacentral:lncRNA from 1 species